GGUCGGGAUAGCUCAGCUGGUAGAGCAGAGGACUGAAAAUCCUCGUGU
rnacentral:tRNA from 8 species